CUGAUUGACUGAGUCAGAAGGGUCAUAUAAGCAAACUGGUUCGGCUCCAUUACGUUUUUAUACUUCUAGUAAGGGACCUAUUGCAGAACCGUUUUUAUCAUUAAGGCAUCAUCAAACUGAUUACGGACUACCACACCUUUCAGGCCCAGUCCGCCAUCCAACACUUGUCCGUCCGUCCUAAGAAAUCUAAACAGUUUCAUCAGUUUCGUUUUCAGUUGGUCUCGUUGAAGCCUUCUGCCCAGCCUCUGACACUUUUGACAACUAAAUCAUUUUUCAACCGUUUACAUUCGGUCAAACCAUUUAACAAAUCUGCACACGUGUAUCUUCAAUAAUAUCAAAACGGAAUUUCAUUAGCAUUUAUACUUAUUCAGAAUCCCAGUUUAAGUUUCAUACCGGUUUCGUUUUCAGUUCUUCUCAUUGAUUUCGUUGACGCUGGAGCGUGAGGACGUUCAGCAGUGUUGCCAGAUUGGGCGUUUUUCCCACCAAAUUGCGCUACCCUUUGAGGACGAUCAGGCAGUGUUGCCAGAUUGGGCAAUUUUUCCAGCACUUUUGGGCUACUUUUAAUCACGCACCGGCUCCGCUUUUCUCUUAAAGAGAAUACCAUUGCUACCAUUACUACUACUAGCAUUAGUACUACAAAUACUUCAGCUACUACUACAGAUUAAUCAUUUUACAUUUCUACAUUUCUGCAUUUUCAGCAAUGCUUUGCGCUUUUCAUUCAGCUGUCAGCAUUCACACGCGUUUUCUGCAGGAAAUGCAUUUCUAGUUUGGAAACAAUUUCCAAAUAAUUCUAAUGAAAAAGUCACAGGAGGUUAUCGUUCACAUUGGCGUUGUGUCUGGGGACUUCCUGUCUUGUGCCUCAUUUGGUGCAAGAUUGAGGUCAUAGUCCGAUUGGUAACAGGGAGGCUGUCAACAACGCUCCAGACAUGGGAAAAGGAAAAAAUAAGAUACAAAUAAUGAGAGGGAUCCAUUUUCUUUUUCCCUGGCUCCAGCAGAGCAGAAGGCAGACUCAGAACAGUGGUAAAAGUAUUAAAUAGACUGCGAACAGCAGGAAUGGUAGACUGGAUGGACUGGAAACAUUGGGAAAGGUGGUCUAGAUUGACUGAGAAUAGUGGGAACGUCAGUCUAGAUAUACUUGGAACGGUGGGAUCCAUAGUUUACAUUGAGUGGGAAGGGAACUGUCGGAUCAAUAGUUGAGAUUGACUUGGGAAAUGUUGGGACGGUAGUCUAGAUUGUCGUAGCUGUAGUGCCGUGCAUCACCUUCAGAGUUCACUAGUAAUUAGGGCUCCAUGAAAGAACUGCCCAAGGGGACACACACAGCGGUCCCUACCCGACACACACACACACACACACACACACACACACACACACACUGAGGCACACACACACACACACACACACACACACUGAGGCACACACAGCCACCUUCACACCUACAAUAAAUAAAAUACAAAUACACACACAUAGUUCGCCCAUGCACCGACACAUACAUACACACUACAGUGUAUGGUCAAGGAGACCUAAUAAUGAGAGAUUAUGUGCAUUUCCUUGGUAAUGUUUUCGCAGGAGCGGGUAAGGAGAAGCACUUGAAAGCCAGUCUUUAAUAAGGGCUAUUAGGACUAUAUCAAGGGCCACAUGUCUGGCAGCCUGUGGUGCCCGGGGGGCCAUCACACGGGGCCUGAGCAACCACAGGGGCCAUCUGCUACAGAUCACACUCUGAUCCCCAGAACCCAGUCGAACCCUGACGAGUCCAACGUCACCUGGACCAAGUAUUUGUCUCGUGAAAACACCGUCAUCGCAAUCGUCAUCAGCAUCAUCGUCCUCAUCAACUUCGUCUUCAUCCUCAUCAUCAUCCACGGAGAGACCAGCGGUUUUCUUCUUUCCGUAUUUUUCUCCAUCCGCACAAUCAAAAGUUAAUAAACGGAGGAACGGGUCGUUCUCUAGGUUGACUCAUAUGGACGGUGCUCGCCGCCUUGGGGAGAUGUUUGUCAUUUAUAACCGCUGUGGGGGUUGGACGUUGAAUGAUGAAGAGCAUAUUAUUAUUUAAUUCUCUAGAGAUCGAGGAGUAAGACAAGUGGGGAGGGGUUAUGAAGCUGUGGUGAACGUAUGCUUUUUCUAAAUGACAAUAAAGCAUUACCCCCCCCCCCGUCUCCCCCCCGCCCCCCCCCUCCCAAACUGUUGUUUAGUUGGACCCGGAUCAAGCCUUCCAACCUGUGUGUAUGCAGCCCUACAGCAGAAGGCACGGGGCCAAACCUGAGGCCAAUUGUUUAGAUCCCCACCAGCUGGCUUCUCUUAGCCCCCAUCUUAACGGGGAGCUACCGCCAAGUCUUCCUGAUAUCCUCCUCAGUGGCUGAGCCCUCGCUCAACUCUUUUCCUUCCCAUUUUUCAAUUAGGGAGGUACCAGUAGGCCCAGUGGCCGAGAGGCUGGCUUAGCCGGUGAGUAUGAGGCGUGAUGGUUGUUAAGUGGGCGUGACUCGAACCGAGGAAUCAAACCUAAACCUUUUGCUUUUUAUCUUUCCGUUGAGCAACGUUCAUGACAUUGUUGCAAGGAAACGUCUGGCCAUUUGUUGAAAUGAAACGUGUCGACAAUCUUGACGGAGAUGAACGAUUUCAUAGAGAAAGUAUUUCUGGGAGAAUAUAAACCGAAACCAAGAAGCAAUUUCCUUGAGGGAUGAUUUUGACCUGCUUCCAAUAAUAAUGGGUGGUUCAAUUAACUUUGAAGUACUUCCAAAAUGAGGAAGGGGGCCUUACCUUUUGUUGCUUUUUUAAUGCCGACUUUAUGGCUCUGCUAUUUCAUAUGUAUGGUUUUGUAUAAGUGAGAGCACCCAAAUAUGUUUGUUAAUACUGGCAAUCGGGAACUUAAAGAUUCAGAAAGUAAAUGCGUGAUGUUUUCAGCAAAUCAAAACAUCGGCACGACAAAUGAGAAACUGAUUUGAAGUGUACGUGAGAAGAAAAAUCACCCCGGGUCUCAACUUUGUCAGUCUGGAGUCCCCCCCCCCCCCCCUCCUCUCCGAUGUAAGGACACGCUAAAGGGGCUGCAUGCAUCAAAGAGAAGAAUAGUGUGUCUAUGAAAUAUUAAUGUCAGUCCAGUUCAGUGAACAAAUCUCUCGACUUUCUCUUCAUUUUCAUUCUGACAAGGACUUCUCCAGAUGUCCAGAAUAUUGGAUUGCUUGGCCGUUGACGGGGUAGCUUUGCGUCUCACAUCGGGCAAUGAUUUGGUUGAUAAGCCUUGAGGCUUUGCUUAUUAUUUUCUUCCUCACUCGAUUGAUUUUUCAUAUGAAGCUUGAAGCCACAGAAUCUCUGACGCAGAAGAAAAGGGUCACUUGAUAGAGAGGACUUGACCGGCCCCGGCCCAAACAAAAACAAUCCGAAUGACAAUGGUACAGCCCAGAUCUUUUGAGCUUACUUGUUUACUUGUUUUUCCCCAAAAAACUAGAAUUUCCUUCCUUCUUUACCUGUUGUGUUUUCAUGGACAUUAAAGAUCAGGGCCACACACACACACACACACACACACACACACACACACACACACACACACACACACACACACACACAUCACAUUGUGUUAAAAAUGAUGACUUGGAGCCCCAACCCUUCCACCAGCCCCACCUCAUCAUCUCAGGCCCAUAUAUGGAGCUCUCCUCUCCCCAGGCACAGGGGCUUUCUUGAGUCACCGAGGCUGACACAUGCCGUUUUCCACUCCUCGAAAAAUGCUAUCUAAUUCAAGCUAUCGGCUGAACUCGACUCUUCUUUGAUAACCUUUUGGGUUUUUACUUUGGGAAAAAGUUGCAGAAAGUACCUGGUAACUUGGUGUCACCACAUUCAAGGUUCCUAGCAAAAUGAGGCGAUGCCAAAAGGUGACAUGAAAACACUGCAGACCAGAGGUCUUCACGGGUCAAAGAUCACAGAUCCUAACCCAAAUAGGCCCGGGAAAUGUUAGUUUUGAGAUCAGAUUGGUUAAGAUAUAUUUUUUUAUAUACUUACUGUAUAUAGUGACCUGUUUUGGCCAGAAAUAUUACAGACCCUACAAAUGGAUGUCUAAGAGAAGAGAGACACAGGAUUCAGACGGGCAGGCUAUUUAAUGGACCCGAUAAUCCCGGUAUUUAAAAUGGUUCUUAAAAUGCUGUUCUACUACUAAAACUUUUAUCGUGUCUGUGCAACAUAUGGUAGCCUAGUAAAAAGAGGUCAAAAUAGCGCUUGGUGCUUUAAAAGACGUGAUGUGCCUGUCUUAUAUGAGUGGAACUGUUACAGUCCACCACACCUAAUACACUUUACCCAUCUUUACAGAGCACCUUUCCUCCACUCUGACUGAACUUGCUGGCUCUGCUUCGCGCUUUUGCGGUUUUAUCACCUUAUUUCUCGCUCUUGUAAUCCGAUCCUAAUGUCAGCCUUAUCAUCACGCAAGUGACAUCCAGAGAGGGGGGUAGGGUUAGCCAUGAGUCAACCAGGGCCGGGAUGGUAUUGAUUUAAAAAGGAACGUAUUGCUGCGUUUUGCAGUGAUACGUGUGUGUGUGUGUGUGUGUGUGUGUGUGUGUGUGUGUUUGUGUGUAUACAAUUGCACCGUAUCACAAGUAGCUACUCAAGCCGAGAAAUAAUUAAUAAUGAAUAAUCCCUCCCCCUAUCGCUCCAAGUUGAAGUGAAACUGAAGUGACCCUUACGUUUUGUUUCUCCAGAAGCCCUUGCAAAUACUCAAUAGUGAUACUUAAACCAUGAAUGACAUUGCAUGUCACACCAUGUGCACUCAGCAAAAACAAAUGAAUACAUGUGGGAUGAUGACCUUACCCCUGUGGUAGGCAUCGCAUGGUGGUGGUGAUGCGGUCAUUGUCACAGCCCUAUCGUCAUCAUGGGAGGAAAUGGGGAGUGAGCAUGGGUCUUGAUCAGGGGAGGACAUUGGGGCCUUAGGGAGGGGGGGGGGGGGUUGUUACAGGAGCUGAGGAACUUAAGCCAUGGGGUCCUUUUGGUCCUUGACCUAUUUAACCCUCUCUGCACCUCCUCCCUUCACCCAAAGAUGGUUCGGGAACGGGAACAUGCAAGGGGAACUGCAUAGCGUUUUAAGAAGGAGAGACGACCUCGGACCGCUGUCUCGUCCUCGCCAUGAUGCUUAUUUUAACACGCAGCGCACACAAGUGUAUCCCCGGUGCAGUCCCCGCACGUCUCAUCGGCUUUUCUAUCUUGAGGUUCAAACCCCCCCCCCCCCCCUCUUCUGUAGCUCUGGCUCUGUAGAACCUUUAAAGGUCUCCCCCCCCCUGGCCACUUUUACUUCGAGCUUGCUCCUUAAAACGCUCUGAAGGCCAUUCCACACCUACAUAAACACACACACACACUGACAAACCCCAGCCCCAAAAAGACACAUCUCCAAUGGUUUAGGGGAGUUUGAAACAGCAGUAACCAGAGUCCCAGUUGCUAUGCGCUAGAUGGGGGGAUCGAAAGUUUUCUGGGAUGGGAUACUGAAGACCUUUUUAUGCAUAUAUAUAUAUAUCACUGUAUUUUGGGGGGAUGCAGUGUCAGGUUUACUGGUAUGGCUCUUGCUCACAUUCCUUUGUUAGUUACCAAGAGGUUGAAUAAUAAAUAGUUAAAUAUGGAGGGUUGGUGUAGGUAUAGUCACUUUAGUACCAUUCGGAAGUCUUGAAAAGCAUUUGUUUGGGAUUUUUAUGAAUUCUUGGGACAUUACGAGGAGUUUUGGCCAUGACCACAUAAAAAAAACGAAAUGACCCCAAAGAUAUCGACAGCGGCAUUAAAUCAGAAUUGAAGCUGUCCAAAAAAGUAGGUGUUAACCGUACAAUCUGGCGCUUGUUUGAGUGUACGGCAGUUUUUACUUUAUAGUCACAAGCUGUUUGGUUUCUCACUUUCUCCCGUUCAAUGACUAGCACAGUGGAACUGUUUAGAGUUGAGUCUAAUCCCUUGUGUCCACAACCUACCUGAAGGCAUAUUUGGGCGAGAUGCGAAACUUGUCGGCUCAUUAACGUAAUGUAUCCAAAUUCAUUCUAAGCUGCAUUAAACCAAAUUAAUAAAUGUCGAUGUAAGUCUCCCACCCUGAAUGCCUAGUAGGGGUGUAACUGUCGCCUCAUUACCUGGCUACUGUCAAGCAAAUCCCUUCACUGACCCCUAUAAAGGGCAGGUUCCCACUUUCCUUUUAUUGGUUGUUUUUGUGGUGUUUUUAAAGCUGCCCUCAUCAAUCCUAGCCUAGUUCUCCAUCUGUUGAUAGCCAACAGGUGUGUCGUCUUUCUGUGCGAGCCACACAAUGUUGUUCCGUAGAAAACAACAUUGUGAAAUAUGCAUAUGUUAUCCCUUUACAGUUCUUUAGGUCGCUGCUCACUACGCAAAAAAAAAAAGAUCCAACUUAUUGGAAUUUAUCUGACUGGUAACAUACUCUUCUCCUCCUCAUUUAUUUAUUAUGGAUUCCUGGUCACAAUAAAUUUUCCGCCUUGGAAAAUUGUAAUCAUGUGGAUUUGAGGUGCAAAUAUCCACAAAUUCUUCAAGGUAGCAUAAAGUAUGCAGCGCAAACCCACGCACAAGCUGCUCUCCAAAGCCUCCUUGCUCCUCGGAGGCCUUGCAAAGACGUUAGCGAGUAGAGCUCUCUGAGGUGAGCCCAGGAAUGCUGCAGCACUUUAUGGCUUUACCAGAGAAACGAGCCGCUAACACUCGCCAGUAGAACCUGAUAAAAAAGGGAGGAAAAACCCGAAAUCCUCAAGGGUGAGGAGAAACGAAGCAGACUUGGAGGAUCGCUUUUAUUGUGAAGGAGUGAGAUGUGAGAGGAGCUAUCAAGUUGCUUCCCAAUUGAUUAUGUUGUUUUUCAACGACUGGAGUUACGCAGGCCGAUGGGAGGCCAACACUUUGCCUCCCAUCCAUUUGCCGCAGUUUGCUGUCAGAAAGUGUCCCCUUCUGUCUAUCAUUGUCGGGUUCUGGGAAGGCUAACUCUAGUGUGGUUCCACACAUGCCACUCACGGACUAUAUCUCUGUGUUUGUGUUCGGUAACAUAUCCAUAAGCGACCGCUUUAAGAGCUGGGGAGAAAAAAACGAUGUGGUUCUCGGUACAGUUGAGGUUAGGGAAAAGCAGAACUCUGGAGACUCGGGGAUAACGUUUGGUUAAGCAUUUCUCCAGGCUUGCUUACAUUGCAACAUCCAUCCUCUAAAAGUAAAAAAACAAUCUGGUGUUUACAGACACUUAUCAUGAGUGUUUGUGUAAGCCCCACCAUGCUACAGAAUCUUCACUCCUCUGGGCUGUUGGUCUGUCAGGUUGAAGGUCUAGUGUCAAACGUCUUUCCCAGUGCUGCAACAAACUUGGUUCGUAAGAAAAAAGAAAAGGCCACAAGGAAAUCUCUAGAGUGCUUGCAUGGGGAGAAAAUUAAGUUUAAGAUAAAUUAUGCAUAUGUACACAAAACUAAAAUGGAUUAUAUGUUUAGUUUGGAUUACUAAAGUACGUACCAAAUGUACUUACCAAAUGGAGGCAUUGUUUUUUCUCUUUUUGAGCGACUGCUCUUCGUAGGUGUCAUGAAUGGGUGAGUUUAUCUGGUGAGAGAUCUCUAGCCUCUAGCUGACCGACUUAUCCACACAGGUCAAAGGUCGUGCCUGUUGUUGUUGGUGUCUUUCUGUCUUUUCGUCAGAGUAUGGGCUCCUUGUUGUGGUGAUAUGUACAUUGUUCAGUUCAAUUGUUAAAAAAUGUGACAAACAAUUUAGAUUUGAAACGAUAUGCACCCCAGCACAUAUUUGGAACCGUAUUGCAAUUUUGUUUUGUCUUUACUUUAGUUAGCAGGUGUUUUGAGCUGCAGACCUUUUCUUCACAAAUGUUGAAGGCCUAGGUAACCUUGUGUGGGAAAGAGAGAAGAAGACAGAUAGCCAUUAGGCAUAGGAAGGCGAAGAAAAAAACAAACUGUCAUUUACAGGUUUGAAUUUCGUCUCGCUGUUCUGAGCUACUUUUCAAAUUCGAUGACAAAUGUACAUAAAAUCCCCCACCCAAAAAAACGUCUCUUCCCGAGGAGUGUGAGUGCGUGAGUGAUCUUGCCGUUGGGCUUCUGUGGGAAGACCUUGGACGACAUCCCCAGCUGUGAAAUACGAGACUCCUGUGCUACUGAGAGAAGAAGAAGGUGAUGGAGGUGGUGGUGGUGGUGGUGGUGUGGGGUUAGGUGGGUCUGAUGGUUCCCGGCAGUUGGUCAGCUCAUCUAGCUGUUGAGGAGAGCCACGUUUGAUGUCCCCCGGGGGUAAACAGGCUUGUUUAUUUACGGUCCCGGGCAGGGGGUAGAGUGAUAGAGUGACAGUGACGGGCUCUUACUCUCUCUCCCCCCCGCCCCCCUCCCGCUGAGUUACCAUCUUUGUCUAUGCAGAUGGCUGUCCCUAAUUUCUCUUUUCCACCGCAUGGUACUAGCUUACUAUUUGAUUUUGAUACCGGGUACUUUGAAUUUACCUGCAGAAUAAACUUUUAGAGAAAUUUGGUAUCCAAAAUAAAACUGCACACCGUUAUGUUAUCAAAAGCAAUCUAUAUUCGCAUACCACAUUGCACGUAUUCCGCUAUCGUGAUUAAUAAUUGUAUAUAAUCAAUAAUAACAGAUAGCAAAUAUCUAUCUAAUUUGAGUGAAGAAAACGUUUGAGGACAGCUUUUAUAUAGUUUUAAUCUAGUGAUACAAUAGCAGGACUGUGUAUUGAGAAACGUAAUUUGGCUGUUACCUCAACCAUUACCGACACCAAACACAGUGGGUAUGGUGACCAUGACAACAAGAUACCUGAUUGGGAUUGGUUAACAGGUUUUAUUCGAGCCGUCAAGAGGACCUUUAUCAUAAACGUGUUCACUUAUUGUGCAAACCGAACAGAGGAUGCACCUCGUCUAUUGACCACAGCUUGAUAAUGUGCGGGCCAUAUAUAUAUAUAUAUAUAUAUAUAUAUAUAUAUAUAUAGAGAGAGAGAGAGAGAGAGAGAGAGAGAGAGAGAGAGAGAGAGAGAGAGAGAGAGAGAGAGAGAGAGAGAGAGAGAGAGAGAGAGAGAGAGAGAGAGAGAGAGAGAGAGAGAGAGAGAGAGAGAGAGAGAGAGAGAAUAAAAAUUAAGAGAUGGAGAUGGAGACAGAUAAAUGGAGGGAGAGAUGGAGAGCGAGAGAGAGUGAAAGUGAGAAUGGGAGAGCUGGCGGAUGGCCAACAUGAGCCAGCGUAAAACAAACAGAGAAACACUCAAGCAGGAGAACGAAAACACACACACGACAUGUGAUGAUGUGUGAUGGUAGACAGAGGACCGACUACACACACACACACACACAGCCACAAACCCCACACAGCCACACACACACACAUAAUACACACAUACACUUCACACACACCCCAACACACACACACACACACACACACACACACACACACACACACACACACACACACACACACACACACACACACACACACACACACACACACACACACACACACACACACCCCAACACACACGCACACCCCAACACAUACACA